GGGCGGGGAGCAGGAGGCGGCGGGCCCCGGGAAGAAAAGAACAUGGCUCCUGCAGCGCGCUGCGCCGAGCGCGGCGAGGGGCGAAGGCGCGCGGGGCGCCAGUGACCGCGAUGGUGAACUCGAGCCGCGUGCAGCCGCAGCAGCCCGGGGCCCCGAAGCGGUCGCCCGCGUCCCGAGCGGCCGGCCCCGGCCGGCUGAUGGCGGGCGGCGCGGCCGUGGGCGCCGGCCUCGGGGCUCCAGGCGGCCUCCGCGAGCAGAGGGGCCUGGAGAUCGAGAUGGAGCGUAUCCGGCAGGCGGCCGCGCGGGACCCCCCGGCCGGAGCCUCAGCCUCCCCCUCUCCUCCGCUCUCCUCGUGCUCGCGGCAGGCUUGGAGCCGUGACAACCCAGGCUUCGAGGCCGAGGAGGAGGAGGAGGAAGAGGAGGUGGAAGGAGAGGAAGGAGGAAUGGUGGUGGAGAUGGACGUGGAGUGGCGCCCGGGCAGCCGGAGGUCGGCCGCCUCCUCCGCCGUGAGCUCCGUGGGCUCCCGGGGCCGGGGGCUGGGGGGUUACCACGGCCCUGGCCACCCGAGCGGGAGGCGGCGCCGGCGAGAGGACCAGGGCCCGCCGAGUCCCAGCCCGGCCGGCGGCGGGGACCCGCUGCAUCGCCACCUCCCCCUGGACGGGCAGCCGCCCCGAGUGGCCUGGGCCGAGAGGCUGGUUCGUGGGCUGCGAGGUCUCUGGGGAACAAGACUCAUGGAAGAAAGCAACACUAACCGAGAGAAGUAUCUUAAAAGUGUUUUACGGGAGCUGGCCACAUACCUCCUUUUUCUCAUAGUCUUGUGCAUUUUGACAUAUGGGAUGAUGAGCUCCAAUGUGUACUACUAUACCCGGAUAAUGUCACAACUCUUCCUAGACACCCCAGUGUCCAAAACAGAGAAAACAAACUUUAAAACUCUUUCUUCAAUGGAAGACUUCUGGAAGUUCACAGAAGGUGCCUUAUUGGAUGGGCUGUACUGGAAGACACAGCCCAGCAACAGAACCGAAGCUGACAACCGAAGCUUCAUCUACUACGAGAACCUCCUGUUAGGGGUGCCACGUAUCCGGCAACUCAAAGUCAGAAAUGGAUCCUGUUCUAUCCCCCAGGACUUGAGAGAUGAGAUUAAAGAAUGCUAUGAUGUCUACUCAGUCAGUAGUGAAGACAGAGCUCCUUUCGGUCCAAGAAAUGGAACCCCUUGGAUCUACACAAGUGAAAAAGACUUGAAUGGGAGUAGCCACUGGGGAAUGAUUGCAACCUAUAGCGGAGCUGGCUAUUACCUGGAUUUGUCAAGAACAAGAGAGGAGACAGCUGCCCAGGUUGCUAGCCUCAAGAAAAAUGGCUGGCUGGACCGAGGAACCAGGGCAACUUUUAUUGACUUUUCAGUAUACAACGCCAACAUUAACCUGUUCUGUGUGAUCAGGUUAUUGGUUGAAUUCCCAGCAACAGGCGGUGUGAUUCCAUCUUGGCAAUUUCAGCCUGUAAAGCUGAUCCGAUAUGUCACAACUUUUGAUUUCUUCCUGGCAGCCUGUGAGAUUAUCUUUUGUUUUUUUAUCCUUUACUAUGUGGUGGAAGAGAUAUUGGAAAUUCGCAUUCACAAGCUACACUAUUUCAGGAGUUUCUGGAAUUGUCUGGAUGUUGUGAUCAUUGUGCUGUCAGUGGUAGCUAUAGGAAUUAACAUAUAUAGAACAUCCAGUGUGGAGGUGCUACUACAGUUUCGAGAAGAUCAAAAUACUUUCCCCAACUUCGAGCAUCUGGCAUACUGGCAAAUACAGUUCAACAAUAUAGCUGCUGUCAUCGUAUUUUUUGUCUGGAUUAAGCUCUUCAAAUUCAUCAACUUUAACAGGACCAUGAGUCAGCUCUCCACAACCAUGUCUCGGUGUGCCAAAGACCUCUUUGGCUUUGCAAUUAUGUUCUUCAUUAUUUUCUUAGCAUAUGCUCAGUUGGCCUACCUCGUCUUUGGCACUCAAGUUGAUGACUUCAGUACUUUCCAAGAGUGUAUUUUCACUCAAUUUCGUAUCAUUUUGGGUGAUAUCAACUUCGCAGAGAUUGAGGAAGCUAAUCGAGUUUUGGGACCAAUUUAUUUUACUACAUUUGUGUUCUUUAUGUUCUUCAUUCUUUUGAAUAUGUUUUUGGCCAUCAUCAAUGAUACUUACUCUGAAGUUAAAUCUGAUCUGGCCCAGCAGAAAGCUGAAAUGGAACUCUCAGAUCUUAUCAAAAAGGGCUACCAUAAAGCCUUGGUCAAACUAAAACUGAAAAAAAAUGCUGUGGAUGACAUUUCUGAGAGUCUGAGGCAAGGGGGAGGCAAGUUAAACUUUGAUGAACUUCGACAAGAUCUCAAAGGGAAGGGCCAUACUGAUGCAGAGAUAGAGGCAAUAUUCACAAAAUAUGACCAAGAUGGAGAUCAAGAACUGACCGAACAUGAACAUCAGCAGAUGAGAGACGACUUGGAAAAAGAGAGGGAGGACCUGGAUCUGGACCACAGCUCUUUACCACGUCCCAUGAGUAGCCGAAGUUUCCCACGAAGCCUGGAUGACUCUGAGGAGGAUGAUGAUGAAGACAGUGGGCAUAGCUCCAGAAGGAGGGGAAGCAUCUCCAGUGGGGUUUCUUAUGAAGAAUUUCAAGUGCUGGUGAGACGAGUGGACCGCAUGGAGCACUCCAUCGGCAGCAUCGUGUCCAAGAUUGACGCUGUGAUUGUGAAGCUGGAGAUCAUGGAGCGGGCCAAACUGAAGAGAAGGGAAGUGUUGGGCAGGCUGCUGGAUGGGGUGGCGGAGGACGAAAGACUGGGUCGUGACAGCGAAAUCCACAGGGAGCAGAUGGAACGGCUAGUUCGGGAGGAGCUGGGGCGCUGCGAAUCCGAUGAUGCAGCUUCCCAAACAAGUCACGGUCUAGGCACACCCGUGGGACUGAAUGGUCAAGCUCGCACCAGAAGCUCCCGCCCUUCUUCCUCCCAGUCUACAGAAGGAAUAGAAGGUGCAGGUGCAAACGGGAGUUCCAAUAUCCACGUCUAGGACAUGUGCUAGUAUGUGUUCCUAACCGGCGAAAAAGGGGCUGACGUCCUGCAUUGCCAGGGCAGGUACACUUUAUAUGCCCUGACCACCGUAGGAUGCUGGUCUUCGUGACCAGCCGUUAAGUCUUCUGCACUUUAAUUUAUUUUAGAUAAACCUUGCCCAUGGAUCAAAGAAGAUUUUUUUUUUCUCAUGUAAGAAAUCUAGGUGUAAAUAUUGAGUCUAGAAAAAAAGUCUUUGUAAAGUAUAUGGAGUGGUAUGCCCACUUGCUACCAUGGAUGAGUCUUCUCAGUUGACAAUGAAGUAACCUUUAAAGUGAGGAGAGAAGCAUCAAAAGGCUUCUGAGUUUUAUUUCCAAUCACGAAAAUCAGUAUUGGCAUUUUUGCCCAGUAUGUGAAGGGAAAGUAGGGGCAUUCCUUCCCACGCAGGCUGAGCUCAUGGACGUAAUACAUAGCUUUCUUUUAAGAAAGGAGCCUUUUGUUUCAACUACCUUCCCGGGGUAAACUUUUCUAAAAGAUGAGCUGGAAAAGAACUCCAAACCAUAGAAUGGAGAGAGUGUGUGAGCAGGGGGGAGGGGCAGAGAGAGAAGGAGAGAGAGAAUCUCAAGCAGACUCCGCACUGAGCCCAAUGUGGGGCUUGAUCCCAGGACCCUGAGUUCAUGACCCGAGCCGAAAUCAAGAGUUGGACAUUUAACCGACUGAGCCACCCAGGUGCCCCUAUGAAUAUUUAGUUUUAUUCAGAACUGUCAGAUUGCCCUCCGGAAUGACUGCACCAGUCUACAGUUCCACUACUUGCGUGAGAUUACCAGUUUUAUGCAGACCCUCACCAGCAUCAGUACCAUGCAGCUGCCUACUUUUUGUUAAUGGCACGGCUUGAAAGUAAGGUUUCAUCUUAUUUUGCAUUUCUCUGAUUCCUAAUUCCUAAGGUUGGACAGCCCCUCACAUAAUUGUUUAACAUUUGGGUUUCCCUUUUGGUAAGCUGCCUAUUCAAACCUUUAAAAUCUUACACUUUGAUCUACUGGGAACACGUAUGUUUUUGUUCAUUGCUUAUUUUUCUACUGGGUCAUGGCCUUUUUUGUUGAUUUGUGAAUCAACAAAUCAAGUUCCUUGUAUGGUUUAAGUAUUAAUCCCUUAUCAGUUUGGACUCUUGUUAGUAUCUCUCAUCCAACUGAUAACUUUGUCAAUAUUUCCUUGGUUUUUAUAUAAAAGAAUCCAUCAAUUUGUUUUGCCUUAUUGUGUUGGGGGUUUUGAGACCUUUGUACGGUCAAAAAUUUUAUUUAUUAAACUUACAGUUUUUACCUUUCACAUUUAAUACUUUGUGUAAGAGUAACCUUGGAUAAGGCCCACAGAUAUUUUCUCCAUACAGUCAGCCAGUUUUGCCAAUAUUCUCUAUUAAAUAAGUUACUUUACCUUAUUAGUUCAUGAUGUCAUUUCUGUUUCAUGUAUAAAUGUCUGUUUUUUUUUUAACUCUUUAGCCUUUUACAUACUGAUCUAUGAAUGUUCUUGCACAACUUCUAUUAUGAAUUUAGAGUACGUGUUCAUAUGUGGUAAGGUCUUCUUUUUUUUCCCUAAAUUGACUAUGCUAUUUUUGUGAAACUUUAUUUUUCCAUGCAAGUGUCCAAACAAGUUUGGUGGGUUCCUAUGGGGGCAGGAGUGGACAGAGAGAAAAAGGUCCCACCGGAAUUUUAUUGGAAUUGCAUUGAAUUUACUGAUGAGUUUAGGGAGAACUGACAUCUUAACACUAUCAGAAACAAUUCUUCCUUUAUUCAGAACUUCCUUAAUGUCCUUUAAGUGUUUCUUAAAAUUUCUUAAAGAUUUAUGCAUUUUUUUAUUAUUUUUUUAAUGUUAUGUUAAUCACCAUACAGUACAUCAUUAGUUUUUGAUGUAGUGUUCCAUGAUUCAUUGUUUGCAUAUAACACCCAGUGCUCCAUUCAGUACGUGCCCUCUUUAAUACCCAUCACUGGGCUAGCCCAUCCCCCCAUCCCCCUCCCCUCUAGAACCCUCAGUUUGUUUCUCAGAGUCCAUAGUCUCUCAUGGUUCGUCUCCCCCUCCGAUUUCCCCCCCUUCAUUUUACCCUUCCUGCUCUUUUUUUUUUUUUAGAUUUUACUUGUAUUUUAUUUUUUAUUUUAUGAUGUUAGUCACCAUACAUUACAUCAUUAGUUUUUGAUGUAGUGUUCCUUGAUUCAUUGUUUGCAUAUAACACCCAGUGAGUGCUCCAUUCAGUACGUGCCCUCCUUAAUACCCAUCACCGGGCUAACCCAUCCCCCCACCCCCUCUUAUGCAUUUUUAAUAUAGUUUUAUUGGUACUAUGAACAGAAUCUAUUAUAUUUUCUAGUUGGUUAUUGCUGAAAUAAAGGGAAAUUACAAAUGUUCUAUAAAUUAAUCUUACAUAUAUCACACGUGUUGAACUCCUUUACUAACUCUAGUAGAUUCUGUAUUGGUUCUUUGCGUUUUCUGGGAAGAAGAGGAGCUCAUUUGUAAGUAAGGACAGUACUGUGUUGGAGAGUAACAGUGAGAGUAGACAUGCUUAUUUUGUUUCUGGUAUUAAUGGGAAUGUGUUUCAGUGUCCUAAAAGAAAAGCCAAAACAAGGACUUGAGUCCUGAUAGUUUAUUUGGGAGGUGAUACUAGGCAACUGGAGCAGAUGGAGAGUGAACCAGGAAAGGAGGAAAUGCCAGUAUACAGGUGUGUUAUGGAAGGUGCCUCUGGAGGCAACGGGAGCUCAGUUCCACCUCUGAGGACAGUACAGAAUGCCUCCCAUAAUUCCCUGUCUGAAGAACGUACGGCCACGAUUUCAUCCGUCGGCCCCGGUCCCUGUUGGUGGAGGGCUAGACACCCCCACACUUUCAGGCUAUGCUUGCACUCGGGCCAAGCAGGUUCUUUCAGCUUUGGAGGACCUCACAGCAGCAAAGCGAAGAGAUCUGUGGUGCAGGCUUGAGGUGGGAGGCUGUCAACAUGAUCCGAGCUCACACGGAACUGGCCACCACAGCUGCCGCCGAAAUCAGAGGUUCAGAGGAGAUGGGCCACAGAGCACCAAACGCAUCUCCUUCAUCCACCCUUGGCACCACUCAGAUCCACUCAUGCCCACAUUAAGUCCACUCUGGACUUUUUGAGGGAGGCCAGCUAGCAUCUCUAGAGAGUAUAAUUCAGGAGGGUUAGUGGAACUCGCUAGUCCCCAUCGCUGGGGUUGCUCACAAGGCCAUAACGAUUUCUUAUCUCCGCUCCCACCCUUUCUAGAGUUUCCUCAAUCUCGGCCAAUACUUCAGCUGUGCUGAGUUGCCGGUUCUGUGCCAUGCUCACACCCUCAUUGCUGAGGGCUCACAGCCCUCGUCCUUUAUCAGGCUCUGGUGGUUCUGACUGCCUGCUGAGGGUAACCACUGAGCGUGGAGACGCCAGGUUAUUAGCUCUGUGAGUUCUCUGCUCCACUGGGCCGCAGUAAAGUCUAGCCUCUCCUAACACAGAUGACCAGUGUGAUACCUGCUUUCUUUCCCCAGUGUGCAAAUCUCAAAGUGUGUAUGUGGCAGACAGUUUCAGGCUCAGUGGAACCCUCACUGUAUUCUCAGGUAGAAGUGUAUGUGUGUGUGUGCGUGUGUGUGUGUGUGCGCGCGCACGCGUCCCCCUUCCCCCACCACCACCACCACUCUUGAGGAUUUGGGAGCCCCACUGCAGUAGAGCUGACAGCUGCGGGCAGGACGCAUCGAUUCUGCAAAUGGGUUAAAGGGAAUGAUACUGAGAGAGGCCGAGAUCACUGGCGUGUAGACCUGUAUACUAUAACUGUAUACCGUCACUGCUGGGAACAAGAACUCUUGGUUUACUACAGGGCCCUGCAAACUUUCCGUAAGGGGCCAGAUGGUAAAUAUUUUAGGCUUUAUGGGCCAAAAUGGUCUCUGUCACAACUGCUCGGCCAUCACAGUGCAAAAGCAGCCAUAGACAAUACAAAUACAAAUGCGUGUGACUAUGUUCCAAUAAAGUUUUAUUUACAAAACUAGGCAGUGGGCCGGAUUUGGCCUGCAGGCCAUAGUUUGCCGAACUCUGGUUUGGAAGGAUGGUGCUCUCGUCCCAGCCAAGGGUGUCAUCCAUGAACCAGCACUAGGAUGAUGCUAAUAACCUGUGUUCAUGUCCUGUGGGAUGUAGCAGUAAUAGCUAAAAUGUAUUGAGGGCAUCCUAUGAGCCAGGUACUUCUAGGCACUUUACAUGCGUUGCCUUAUUUCAUCUUCACACCUCCACUGAGGGAGAUACUAAUAGAGUCCCUAUUUUAUGCAUACGAGACUACGUAAGUUACAUACAGAUGGAGCUAAGUAAGUUAAUCAAGGCCACAAACCUGGUGAGUGGAACAUGACAAGGAGGGGAGGGGGGCCAUCUGCCUGAGUAACUGUAGAGAUAGAAAGGCCCUGUAUUUGCUUCACAGCUCCCGAAACACUUUUUUAAAGUACAACUCCCUGGUUUCUACUGGAGACCUCUGUGCCCAUCUUGGCUUCUGCACAUGUGCCCAAGUGACCUGCCGCAGGUGAUUUGUCAAGUUACCCUAGAAAUAGUGCAGUAUGUUCCAAAUCUUAGCAAGAAAAUAGUCUGUGUGGCCUUUGGCGGGUCACAGCCUCUGAAACUCAAGUUUCCUCUUCUGCAAAAUGAAAAAGAUGGAACAGCUUGAGGUUUUCAAAAACAUUGUACCGCCAAGCCCUCUGUUCCUGAGAUGACGCCUCGGCUUCUGUUGCCCGGCAAGGAAAGGAGGCCAAACCGUCACUUGAGUGGAGCGGCGGCUAUGCCAGCUGUCACUUCUCAGAGACCCACAGUGCUGUCGUGUGGGGCUGCCGGGGGAGAAUGACCCCGCAGGUUGGAAAGGGUUUGAAGAUCGGGUGAUGUUAAUGAGCUCACUUAGUCCUAAAUGUGAUUCCGAUGUGUUGGUGGGUACAAAAUAUAUGGCUUUGAAUGCAGUUGUCACAGUGAUCUGAUCGAGAUUGAAUUAUAAUGAAAUUAAAAUGGCCUUACCUGGUUAUUGCAAUCCUAAAUCAGUAUAUCCCAAAGAAUCACCUGGAAUUCCCAGGCUCAGUCCUCAGAGAUUUCACAACAGAUGGAGGGAAAAAAUAGCCUUUUCUUGCCUUCCUUCCUCACAUAAGCAUCCCAGAUGAUCAUUGAUUCUUACCAGGGAAGCUUGGGAAACCCUAGGUAACAGCAAAGAAAUGUGGAAGCUCACAGUCUAGAAAACAAGAGUUACUUCAACUUGGAAUGUAAGUUAUCUUGUGUUCAUAGUGCUCGGUGGGGACAAAGUAGGCUGCAACAUGUGAGUCAACUGUUUUUUUAAAUGUAUAUACCGUGAGACAGAAGGCCAGGAGGUACAGCUAGAUGGUAGAACUAGGUUUGGUGGGGCUCCAGGUUUUCUUUCCUUGGGAUCUUUAGUCCACUGAGAAUAAACCCAAACCUGUGAGGGUGAGGAUGGUACUGAUUAUCUCCUGCACUGUCUCAGUGAUGAUGAGCUCUUGCAACUAUUCAGCUUAGCUUGACACAAAUUCCUAUGGAUGUAGUAGACAUUUGAAUUAAUCUGAAAUCCUAAUUCUGUCUUUACCAAGGAAUCCUCUGAUCUCAGUUUCACACCUGAGAGAAGAAUGUCACAAGUAAAUGGCUAUUAGAACACUUUACUGUUUAAAUUAGUGAAUCAGCGCUCUGGCUUACCAGUCCCCUUCUGAGGAUGGCUGAAGUGAAUUAAUUCCUCAGAGCAUAACAACGCCCCUUACAUGCACUGGGGGGAAAAAAAAAAGUCCAAUUCCUAAACAUGCAAAACAGGCUCCCCCACAAAUCCCAUGAGGCCUGACCUCAAGUGGUAGCCAGAUCUCUUAAGGAAGAGUAAAGUAUUAGGAAGCAAUAUAUUUGUUCUAUUAUGCAGAAACAGGGUUUCAAUAUAAUACCUUGAAAAAUAUUUUAGUAAAAUUACCAGCAAAUUUCUUAGAAAUCUGGUUCAUCAACAUUUUAAGUAUGGUUUCACAUGAAGCAGGAGCGACAACUUUACACCAAGGGUCUCUGCAAACUGUGGCCUGUGGGCCAAAUCUGGCUCACACUGAGUUGUAUAGCCUCAAGCUAAGAAUAGUUUUUACAUUUUCAAGAACGAUUUUUACAUUUUUAAGAGGUCGUCUAAAAAAAAAAAAAAAACAGGCAAAGACUACAAAAUAUUUCUUAGAUCUCUUCACAGAUAAAGUCUGUCAACCCCUGGUCUACAGGAAUAAAGAACUCUGCUCGGUCCUACCCCUACCAACCAAAGCGGAAUGUAAAAAGAAAAUACUUAAAACUAACCAGAUGAACAAGUCAAAGGCCAACCUUUCAAACAGAGAGAAGGCCCUCCUUGAUUUUAGCAACUUUGAGUCUAAAUCUGCAUAAGUAAGAUUCCAGUUAUUUUGGUAACAAUUCAUAUGAAAGAAAUUACAGGAUUAUACCAAAAGCACAUAGGCGAAGUUGAAAAGUCAAGCUGGGUGGCUGCUCUUCUUGAAGCUAGUUGAAAAAUGGACAAUUCAAUACAAACAACCAUAUAACCUAAAAUGUUAAAGCUAGGGGUGCCUGGGUAGCUCAGCUGUCAAGCAUCUGCCUUCCGCUCAGGUCAUGAUUCCAGGGUCCUGGGAUCGAGCCCCGCAUCAGGCUCCCUGGUCCUCGGGAAGCCUGCUUCUCCCUCUCCCGCUCCCCCUGCUUGUGUUCCCUCUCUCGCUGUCUCUAUCUGUCAAAUAAAUAAAUAAAAUCUUUAAAAAAAAAAUGCUAAAGCUAAAAGAAAUUCUCAUUUUAUAGAUGCAAGAAGGAAUUCAGAGAAUGUAAGGAUGUAUGAAAACAAAAAAAAAAUGAAAAAUAAGUAUCAAGAAUUACUUAAUCUUUAUGAAUUCUAUCUGAGGGAGGUAAAACAAUAUUACCAUCAUAAACAUAUAAUUGCUCAAACCAGGACACUAAAAAUAAGUAAAGGGCAUAUAAAAUUGUUUAACUUUGAAAAUAUUUAUUGAUUACAUGGUCACUGUAUUAUACUGGUGGGCCUAUAAAAUCGUUUUACUCAAACUCUAUUUUCAGAAAUAACUUUCGAAAUGCACCCCAUGAAACCUGUUUGGAUUAUCUGGGUGCACACAAGCAGUGCGUUGUUCAAAUGAAAUAUACUUUUUACCAUGGAUACUAGCCAAAAGUUUUAACAUUGCAAUGACUUGGAAGUACUCUCAAGCGGAUGACUUUCUAAUAAUUCUACUGCUACAACCAUAAGGAAAAUCCCUUAGACACAGUAGAGCAAGAGGUAUCAUAGAACACCAUACAGUUCUUCCAUGAGGGAAUGCAAAAUAAAACACAAAGUACAGAAUCUCUACAAAUGUAAGGCCUCCGGUAGGACUCAUACUCUAAGACACUGAUCCUCACAGAUUUCUGGGCCAACCAUAAAGUUAUUGUAUGUUAUCAACUUGUCACCAAGUGGCCUGCUGCUCUAGUCAAAGGACAGGACCGUAUGGAGAGCUCAGGCAGCUCAGGCAUCCAUAGUGGCCGCUCAUACAUCAGUGUUGGUGAGAGCCCAAGCUCUUGGACCAUGAAUGGUAUCUGCCCCAGCUACCUCAACUCGUCUCAUCUGAGGCCCAUUGAGCAGGCACUGGGGUGGUCUAAAGAUGUCAUAUAAAUACGAGUACUGCUACUUCUCAAAUAUAUGUAGAUAUUGAGGUACUGAGGUUAAUACAGUUCAAAUCUAAAGACCAUGAAGAAUGGCUUCCAAGAUGGAGAAGGAGUUGAGUACAUACGCCGCCUCUUCAACAACCCACUUCAAGCCACCACGAGAGCAAUGGAAGGAAUAGAGUAGUAGCUAACACUUUUCAUUUAUUCCUGAGGUUUCUUUUAUUUUAAACCAAAUGAAUUCACCCUCUCCAUUAUCGAUUGGUUCUUGUGACAUCCAAGAAAAUAAAAACAAAAUUCAAAGGAAUAUAGACAUAGUCUGAAGUAAAUUUCUAUAAAUUUAUAUUUUCUAUUUUAUAGGACUUAUAUUUACUUAUACUUUAAAAAGUGUUCCUUAACUCAAAAAUGGUGAAGAUGGCAAAUUUUAUGUUAUGUGUUUCUUACCAUAAUUAAAAACAACUGUGUAAAAAAGGAUAUUGUAAUAUAAAGGGAUGGUAAAUAUAACAAGAUACAUUUAAAUUCUUUUCAAAAGUAGGUAUUAAUAUAUUUGGCUGUUUUGUUUCUUCUUUAAGUGUAUUUUGUAUGUAAAGUAUGUGUGUAUGUGUAUACAUAUACACACACUUUAUAUAUAUAUAUAAAUAUAAUAUAUAUAUAAAUAUAUAUAUAAGUAUAUAUAAAUAUUAUAUAUAUAUAUAUAAUGAGGGAAGAGUGUAUACAGAGAACUCUAAGGAAGCCAGGAUUAUAUACCAAGAACAGGAAAAACUGAUUAACCCUGAUGGUCACAUAAUAAUCAGGUAAAAAGAGUAUGUGAUAACAUGUUACAAGAUGAUGCAUUAAUCAAAUGUCAUCUAAAAAAAGUUUCUUAAAAAUAUAAUGCUACGUCCCUGGACUGAUGUCACGCCAAUAUGGCAGGGCACCCACUGACACUAAACGAUACUCCAAGAUGAGCAAUCACAAGGAGUCUACACUGGUGAUCCUCAGACUCACUUAAUUCCUAUUAAUACUGAAAAGUGUUUCCUUUUAUAAAAA